rnacentral:rRNA from 1 species
UACGGGGGGGGCUAGCGUUGUUCGGAAUUACUGGGCGUAAAGGGCGCGUAGGCGGUCUGCUAAGUUGGAUGUGAAAACUCUGGGCUUAACCCAGAGCCUGCAUUCAAUACUGACAGGCUAGAGUUCUGGAGGGGAUAGCGGAAUUCCUGGUGCAGCGGUGAAAUGCGUAGAUAUCAGGAGGAACACCGGUGGCGAAGGCGGCUAUCUGGACAGAAACUGACGCUGAGGCGCGAAAGCUAGGGGAGCAAACAGG